ACAUGUAGCAAUAACAAUUAGUUAAAACACUGGACAUGCGUGUAUUCUUUGACCAUUAAUUUCCAGGUUGGCCAAAACAUGUCAAUUAGAGUCAACUUAAUAGAUAUUCAUCCCUGUAUCUUUUAAUUUAAGACUAUAAUGGUCAAGUUAAUAGAAACCUUGACACUGUUUAUAUUCUGUAUAUAUACUUGUGUAUUUUACUGUAUAGAGGAGACCGUCCGUUAUGGACACUGGUCCAGACGGGCUUGAAUAAACUACUAUUCCAAAUAACCAUGUGUUGUGUUACAUGUGGUUAUUUUUGGUUAACCGUGACCAAAGGAUAAUAAGGUAAAGUGACUUUUUAUUUGAUACUCUUUACUUAAUUUCUCAAAAUGGCUAGACAAGAAUUUAAUGCAGGGUCUGUUUUUCAAAAUUUAGAAACACAAGUUCAAAGUUUCACUCAAAAGGUAUUUAAAAAAGGCAUUAAUUCGAUUGAAAGCUUUGAUGGUUCAAAAUCAGACAAAUUAGGAAUAGGUGUAUCAGAUGUGAGCACAAUUGUUCAUGAUCAAGAUGCUGAUUUACUCAUUAAAAAAAUGUUUAUUAGAUAAUGGUUUUUUUUUUUAAGCGAACUAUGAUGUAGAUAUUUUUUAUUUUUCUUAUAAAUCCAUGGUGAAGGUUUUAUUUUUUUUAUUGAUAUUUUUUUAUGUAAUCAUUAUGAUAAGGGUGAAGGUACUUAUGAUAGGUAUUUGAUUGUUUUAGUCAAUAUAAAAGACUGGCAACUUUGUAGGUAUUUGAAAGUAUAAGUCAAUAUAUAAGUUUUGCGUACAUAUUGUAAUGAUAUAAUGAGAAGUUUUUAUAUGCUGUUUUUUAAAAGACAGAAUAGAUAUUUAAAUAAGAAAAAACAACAUUUGAAUAUUAAUAUUUAAGAAUUAAAUAACAAUAGGUAAAACUAUUUUAAAGAUGUUGGUUAUAUUUUAAAGUAUUUAAAUGCACGAAUAAUGAUAAUAUCAAAACAUUUAAUAUAUCUUGAUUUUGAAUAUAAUAAUUUAAUUUUUUAUUCAUAUUUUGAUCUGUUUUCUGAAGAGACAAUCAGUAAUUCUAAAAUAUACGCGCCUAUAUAUAUUGGUAUAAGAAAGUUUCAUAAGAACACUUUUGGCGACGGAUUUAAGGGUAUUUCUGCGAUGUUAUAAUCAUAUGGUUGUUCAAAUAUGGUUGACGCAGUUUGGUAAGUGCGUAAGCACAUUUGUUUAGAGAAACAAAAUAUUCUAUGGUAUUUAGAAUCCAAACCUUUAUUUUCGCACAGUUAUUGUGGUAUUUUUAAAGAAUGACGGACCUAUCUUCAGAAAAUGGCGCCUAAAUGAUUAAAAUUGAUAUAAGUGGUAAGUCCACUCUUAGGGAAAUGUAGGUUUCUAUAAGUUUUAAAAGUAUUGACAGUUUUUAGCGAUAGAUGAAAUAUAGGAUUAUUUAUAGAGAACAUAAAUCUAUAGUAAGGGUUAAAAAUGAAAAUGUUUUCAUAAGAAAACAAUUAAGGAUUUAAAAUAUGGAAAUAAGUAUCAUAUGAUUAAUCGUUAUAAACAAAUAUGACGCGAUAUAUCUUCCGCAAAUAUUUUAAUGUGAUGCUGAUUAAAUUAAAAGAAAAUUAGCAAACCAAGAAAAAUGAGAAAACAUAGAGGAAUAUGAGGUCAUCUAUAACUUCCCCGUUUAAUGAGAUGACAAAUGAUUUUAUUUCUGAGAGAUAAAGUGUAGAAAGUAGUCAAAAUAUAUUUGUUGAUGAAAUUAUAACACCAAAAAAUAAAUCAUAAGUUUGAAAGAAAAAUCAAUUAAUGUUUAACUUUUUCUCAAACAUAUCUUGUUAUCUUGAUAAAAUGAACGACUAACAUGUCGUAGUUGUAGGCUUCGUGAUGAUUGUUUUUAAAUAAAUAUAUGUGUAUAUAAAAUAAUUUUGUUUUGAUUAAUCAUUCUAAUUCUCGCUUCAGAUUGCUCGCUGAAAAAUUGUUGAUUGUUAAGAAAUCCUAUAAAUAUCAGUAAUCUCUGAAUCACAGCUUUGUUUAUGAAAAAGGAAGGAAAGUGUUGGUUAAAUGUUAAACCUCAUUGUAAAUAAUUUUUCAUUCUUAAUACUAGAUAAAAGUUUAUUUUAUUAGUUUUAUUGUUUUUGUAUUUGAGUUUAAAUUGUUUUUGGUUCUUAUUUCAAAUAGAUAAAAAGCAGUUAGAACUUGAGAACGACUUUGAACUAUCAAAUUUAGUAAAUGCAUUAAUUUAUUUGUGUUGCUAUAUUUAUAGGUAUUUGUUAUUAAAAUAUUUUUAAGUGUAAUAAUAGGUGUUUAGCCAAGAGAAUUUAGUAAUAGAGAGAUUCAAGUAGUCACACGAUACCUUGGUGGCAAUCAAAUGGUGUCAACUGAUGUUGAGGGCGAUGGUACUGCCUACAGAGAUGUUAAAAUAGCUUCUGCACCAUUACUGAGAACCAGCCAAUAAGAACCAUUAUCCAGUAUUGGAUAUCGGCUUUGAUCAUUGGACACAACGCAGACGUUAAGAUGUACAUAAAACUAUACGAUCACAUAACUUUUUAUUGGUAGAGGGAAUCGUUCUACAGCAUCACAGGUAGAUUUUCCUGUAAUGUUUCAGCCGGUGAUAACUGAGCAACCUAGUCAGGGACUCUGAAUUAACAGAGUAGGUAAGCUAGGUCAGUUAGGAGUAAAUCAACAACGGAUGGUGGAUCACAUGAAGGACGGAUGGUGGAUCACAUGAAGACGGAUGGUGGAUCACAUGAAGUACGGAUGGUGGAUCACAAGAAGUACGGAUGGUGGAUCACAUGAAGGACGGAUGGUGGAUCACAUGAAGUACGGAUGGUGGAUCACAUGGAGAACGGAUGGUGGAUCACAUGAAGUACGGAUGGUGGAUCACAUGAAGGUCGGAUGGUGGAUCACAUGAAGUACGGAUGGUGGAUCACAUGAAGUUGGAAUGAUUGCAGAACUUCUAAAUGACGGGAAUUGGUGUCGCAGAUAAACAAAUGGAUUGUUGGAGUUGACAACGACGAUCAGAGGAGCAGUUCACUGGAGUCGGGGUUAUGAAGACGGUCCGCAGUUGAUGGUUGCGCUUUUUUUCUAGGAAUAAGAAGUUCCAAUAGUUGAUGUUACGAACUUAGUUAUUCACACAAGAAUUGUAUGAACUAUACAUUGCUGAACAUUUAGAUGUUGUUGAACUUUUGAAAUGAUUUUAUUUAUGAAUAUUUUUGUUGUUUUUAGGGAAAUUUGCAAGCAUUCAUAUUGUCACCGAUUUUAACUAAAAUAUAAAUUAUAUUUCUUAAGAAAGGGAGGAAUGUGACAAUAUGAUAGGCGAAAAAUAUAUAUAUAAAUAUAUAUAAAAUAUAUUUAUAUUUAUAUUGAUGAUUAUAUAUUCUUAAAAUGUUUAUUAAAUUGAAUAAUAUAAAUACGGGGGAAUAUCUAUUAAGAAAAUCAUGACCUUGUAAAAGGUUGUUCAAUUGACCGCUACUGCAUAUGAAAUAUUUACAUGCAGAUCAUGAGGUGACAUGUAACAAUUAGUUAAACACUGGACAUACGUGUAUUGCUUACCAUGUGGAGACAUGUAGCAAUAACAAUUAGUUAAAACACUGGACAUGCGUGUAUUCUUUGACCAUUAAUUUCCAGGUUGGCCAAAACAUGUCAAUUAGAGUCAACUUAAUAGAUAUUCAUCCCUGUAUCUUUUAAUUUAAGACUAUAAUGGUCAAGUUAAUAGAAACCUUGACACUGUUUAUAUUCUGUAUAUAUACUUGUGUAUUUUACUGUAUAGAGGAGACCGUCCGUUAUGGACACUGGUCCAGACGGGCUUGAAUAAACUACUAUUCCAAAUAA